rnacentral:lncRNA from 1 species
GAUCAAUAUAGUUGGGGUGCAGAUACAGGCCUUCCCCUAGGGAAACACUUGCAUCAGUAUUAGUGAGAGACCAAGUACACAUCUGAAGCAUUCCUGUGCUUUCUGUCCACUUGUCAGGUGAAGUUGCCACGUAUGACUGUCCAUCAGCCAGGAGAUGAACCCCCACCCGUGAGGCAGUGACUCAAGGUGCAAGGGAGUCCGGCAAGAAGUGUGGCGCACCCGAGUUGCUGCCACUGCUUUUUGGAUCACCCAGCACGGUGAAGUUGCCACGUAUGACUGUCCAUCAGCCAGGAGAUGAACCCCCACCCGUGAGGCAGUGACUCAAGGUGCAAGGGAGUCCGGCAAGAAGUGUGGCGCACCCGAGUUGCUGCCACUGCUUUUUGGAUCACCCAGCACGGUGAAGUUGCCACGUAUGACUGUCCAUCAGCCAGGAGAUGAACCCCCACCCGUGAGGCAGUGACUCAAGGUGCAAGGGAGUCCGGCAAGAAGUGUGGCGCACCCGAGUUGCUGCCACUGCUUUUUGGAUCACCCAGCACGGUACGGCUUCUCCUGCCCCAAGACGUGUUGUGAAUUUCAGGUUUCCUGGGACUGCCUGAGUGGUUGUACGUAUACAGGGACCGU